rnacentral:rRNA from 1 species
UCGGUCAGCUCGUGUCGUGAGAUGUGGGUUAAGUCCGUAACGAGCGCAACCCUUGUCCUUAGUUACCAGCACGUUAUGGUGGGCGACUCUAAGGAGACUGCCGGUGCAAACCGAGGAAGUGGGGAUGACGUCAAGUCAUCAUGGCCCUUACGGCCUGGGCUACACACGUGCUACAAUGGUCGGUACAAAGGGUUGCCAAGCCGCGAGGUGGAGCUAAUCCCAUAAAACCGAUCGUAGUCCGGAUCGCAGUCUGCAACUCGACUGCGUGAAGUCGGAAUCGCUAGUAAUCGUGAAUCAGAAUGUCACGGUGAAUACGUUCCCGGGCCUU